rnacentral:rRNA from 1 species
UCCGGUUGAUCCUGCCAGAGGCCGCUGCUAUCCGGCUGGGACUAAGCCAUGCUAGUCUAGGGGCUUGUACCCCUUCGGGGGUGCAAGCACCGGCGGACGGCUCAGUAACACGUGGACAACCUGCCCUCGGGUGGGGGAUAACCCCGGGAAACUGGGGCUAAUCCCCCAUAGGUGAUGGGUGCUGGAAUGCCCCAUCUCCGAAAGCGCUCAGCGCCCGAGGAUGGGUCUGCGGCGGAUUAGGUAGUUGGUGGGGUAACGGCCCACCAAGCCUAAGAUCCGUACGGGCUGUGGGAGCAGGAGCCCGGAGAUGGACCCUGAGACAAGGGUCCAGGCCCUACGGGGCGCAGCAGGCGCGAAACCUCCGCAAUGCGGGAAACCGCGACGGGGUUAGCCGGAGUGCCCGUGCAUUGCACGGGCUGUCGGGGUGCCUAAACAGCACCCCAUAGCAAGGGCCGGGCAAGGCCGGUGGCAGCCGCCGCGGUAAGACCGGCGGCCCGAGUGGCGGCCACUCUUAUUGGGCCUAAAGCGUCCGUAGCCGGCCCAGUAAGUCCCCCGGGAAAU